rnacentral:rRNA from 1 species
UACAUGUGGGGCAAGCGUUGUUCGGAAUUACUGGGCAUAAAGGGUGCGUAGGUGGCUUGUUAAGUCAGGGGUGAAAGUUUUCGGCCCAACCGGAAAAUGGCCUUUGAUACUGGCGAGCUCGAGUGCGUGAGGGGUAACCGGAACGAGCAGUGUAGCAGUGAAAUGCGUAGAUAUUGCUCGGAAGGCCAACGGCGAAGGCAGGUUACUGGUGCGCAACUGACACUGAGGCACGAAAGCGUGGGGAGCAAACAGG